GGAGGUGUGGUGUAGCGGCCUAACAUGCAGCCCUGUCAAGGCUGAGAUCGCGGGUUCGAAUCCCGUCACUUCCGCCC
rnacentral:tRNA from 1 species